rnacentral:rRNA from 1 species
GACAAACGCUGGCGGGGUGCAUGAGACAUGCAAGUCGCACGGGGUUGAUCGGGCUUGCUCGAUCAACCUAGUGGCGAACGGCUGAGUAACGCGUAGGUGACCUACCCGGAAGUGGGGAAUAACUGCCCGAAAGGGUGGCUAAUACCGCAUGUGGUCGGCGAAUCAGAUCGCCGUCCAAAGCCGAAAGGCGCUUCCGGAGGGGCCUGCGUCCGAUUAGCUAGUUGGCGGGGUAACGCUCACCAAGGCGACGAUCGGUAGCUGGUCUGAGAGGAUGAUCAGCCAGACUGGGACUGAGAACGGCCCAGACUCCUACGGGAGGCAGCAGUCGGGAAUUUUGCCCAAUGGACGAAAGUCUGAGGCAGCGACUCCGCGUGAGGGAUGAAGGCCU